ACGUUUUAUGGAAGAGCGUUCCUGGGAGCACAAGGACACGGCUUCCUCACUCAGUGUGUCAGGGUUCAUCUGUGGGAACGUCUUCAGGGAGUGCUGGCUCCAUAGCUGAUGGGCGGAGAGUCUCCUAAUCACCAGAAUCAGGACACCGAGCUUUGGUGUGUCUCCAGGGCUUCUUAAGGCUCCACCCAGGAUAUUACAAAAGGCAAAGCAUUUGGGAUAUGAAUUAGACCUUGUCUCCAGAAAAAUCCCGGGAGGCAAACAGUAGAGGUGACAUCAUUGCUCAUUAGAAUGAUGGUGCUGCAAUCCCCACACUGUCUCAUUGACACAUGACGCCGCCCGCCUCUCUGCUCGGCUUCGUCUUGCUCCAUCCUGGUCCAGCGGGUCUGAAGGCAGGUUCACAGGUGGCGGAAAGAGAAACUUGCUCGCAUCAUGAAGAGGAGAUUAACAUUUUGACUCAGAUAGGAAGGCAGCCUCUGCACACAGCACUCUAAUCCAAACGGCUCCAUGAGGUGGCUGCUCCGUUCACCGCUGCUGCCCCCCUGGAGCCCCUGAACAGAGGGGCAUUUACCCAGCCCAGCAGAGCUCUGAGAUCUGACAUGCGUAAAAGGCCUGCCCCCAUUCCUGAGGAAGGGAACAUGCCAGGAUUGGCUUCUCGUGACCAACCUUCCUCAUUUCACUCUUGUAUGAUAA